CCGUUCCCGGCUGGCUGGGGAAGGGGCGUCCGGAGCCGCAGUGGCCCAGGAACAACUACAGCCCGUCGGGGACGAGAGAGAUGGGGGCGGGCGUUAGAAACGCGUUCUCCGCUGCGUGAGGCUGUGGCCUAGACCUCGGCGCGUUUCAUCUCCGGCGUACUCCUCGGGGAGAGCCGGGAGGUCCUCCUCACUCUGUGACCUACGCUGUGGCAGUUGGGAAAGGACCUGAGAAAGUGACAAAAGGCGAUGCUCCGGUCACAGCAGGGGCCCAGAAGGGCGCCCACAAGGGAUCUGAGCACGCCUGGCCCCUGGCUUCCCGAGGAGGGUUGCGCCUUAAGUGGGGUGCGCGAGGACCGGGCGGGCUCCGGGGCAACAAGGCCCCACAGUCCCAGGGGUGCUCGCGGUGACCUGGUGGGGCUACUGGUGGGUCGGCCCCGCAGCCGUGAGCCAAGGAAACAGGGCCGGUGGCACUGACGCUCCUGUGAGAACCUAACUGCCACCUGAGGCGUCCAUGCGGGCCUGGCCAGGAGCGCCUCGAGGAGCCCAGGCAGGUGUGAAUCAAGGCGCAAAGCCCCGCGCAAGCUGGAGGACUGCAGGCCUCGGUUUGCAGUGCAGUCCGGCCUCAGGCUCUGCUAGCACAGAGGAGGAGCGGAGGGCAGAGCUGAGGAUUCUUGGCAGCUGGUGUCAGGGGCAGGGGGUCUGACUGUGCUGUCCUGCGGCGCUUUCCCCUCUGGAAAACGUCCAGUCUUGCUGUUGCGCAGUGCUUCCUUGUUUCUACAUUGCUUUCGCUUGUGUUUCAUUUAUCCAGCAACCUUUGUGCCCCGAACCAUAGUUCUGAAUAGGUGAGGCACUGGUGACUUAGCACCCAAGCCCCAGGGCCACAGCUGGUUAGUACUGAUGGGGACUGUAGCUCCGGGGUCCUGAAUCCAAGGUCUUUCGGUCAAACAACCAGAUCAGGCUUGGUUUAUGGUCCUGGUGCCACGGGCACAUACAGCAACUAAGAGGAAAUCUGAAGGACUGGGUUAACACCCCCCCACCAUUGCUUUUUAGAUCCUCUCAUUGAAACGCAGGUCGAGCUGCUCUUACCUGCUCAGGAAGGACUUCACUAACCCUAGCCAGAAAACCUAGACCCAGAAUGACAGCAGAAUUCGGGCGUAAGGAUGGGCUACCAACUGUGACUUCCUCCUUACCCACAUCCUUCAGGCUACCUCCAGACCCAGGGUCUCUUCUCUUCUCUCCUCUUGGUCCACAAGCAGAGGGCCUGUUUCCUGUCCCAGGGGAUGAGUCAGGACCCAGUGGUCAGUUCUGACCCAAGGUUACACAGCUGCCCCUGACUGAUGGAGAGAGGAACAGAAAGAGCUGCUGCUGGCCCACAAAUCAGGAAGUCAACUCAUUCUGAGCCCCAAACCUAGGACUUCUGGAUGAGGAAACUGAAGCUUGUGCCAAACGAGGAAAGGAAUUCGGGUCAGGUCACACAGCUAGUAGAUCUCAGGGCUGGGCUUUGAAUGCACCCUGGCCUACACAGGAAGUUCAAGGCCAACGUGAGCUACUUACAGACCUUCAAAAAAACUAGAAAAUGUAAAAAUAAAG
ensembl:lncRNA